rnacentral:lncRNA from 1 species
ACCCAGAAACGACAAAAGCGCUCGGCACUACAACACGAGGCAGUUGCAAAUUAUGUAACAUCAGUUGCCAGGCUAAACGAUCCAAGGCGGUCACAGAGACGUCGAAGUAGCCAUACAUAACACAAUCUACCCAGGGAGUUUUACUGCAUUAGUGAAGUCUCCUUCUCCGUCGUUUGGCUGUGUUCCUCAUCAGAGCAAGAGAAAGAAUGGAGCAUUUUGUAAAGAGAAUAUACCAAUGACAGAAGUAACAGAGCUCAGUUUCAGCUUGUAUAUCCGAGUGCUCACUUUCCUGAACCACAUCUUGUCUUUACAGCACAAUAAAAAAA